GUUUUCGUUGUUUUUU
rnacentral:misc_RNA from 1 species